rnacentral:lncRNA from 1 species
CUGUCCCUUUGAGCCAAUCAAAAGUACACCUUUAGGUUUGUCCUUACUUAACACAGCCCAGCCGAGCAGCAAAAACAUAUAGGAACAGAUGGCUGUGAGAUGCAUUCUGAGGGUUGGGCAAAGGGAAGCAAAAUUACAAAGGAGGACAACCAUGGAAAACUUAGGGUGGGCAAAGGAACUUAUUAAUGCUCAGCCAUCGUCCUCUAUCUUCAGCAAUCACACUGUCCUCUCCAGCUCUGUGUCGUUCAGGUGUCCUGUAAUUACUGUCUUCUAUCUUCUGUCUCUGACCUGGAAAAUGCCAUCACAACAUCCUCAGCACCCUGAUCAAUUGAGUGUUGAGGCAGCUGGCUAAGUUGGCUAUUCACUACACCUGCAUAUGUGCGCAAGAACUCCUCUUCACUGGCAGUCAGGUUUGAUCCCAUCUUCCUCAGCAUGAGUAGGACUCUCACUUUCUGCUGAAUGUACAUCUCCUCCGGACUCUUUCCGGGGACGCCCUCACGGUUCAUUCCCCUCCUGCCAGCUCCUGGAUUUCCUGCUUCUAAAAACCACAGAAGAUCAGAUAAUCCACGUGCUCACUCCCAAUUAACUGCCAGAUUUGGGGAAAGAAGUAUGAGGAAAUGGCCCUGCGUGCGGGGCCGGGCCGGCCCCGGCGGUGCUGCGGUGCGGGCGGCGGUGAGCGCGGGCGAGCGGAGCCGUGUGGAGCGGAGAGGAGCGGCCGCCUCCUCCGUCGUGACUCACCGCGGCGGCCCGACGAGGCAGGGAGGGACGGAGGGAGGCGCCUGGGCGGCUCCGGGGGAGGGACCCGCCGCGUCCCCGCGCCCAGGGCAGCGGCGGCGCCGCAGGCACCACCCGAGAG